rnacentral:lncRNA from 1 species
CAGGUAACGAGGAGAAAUACAGUGACGGAGUGGAGAACAGAGGAGGACGAUACACACUGUGUGUAUCAUCCAUCCACCCUCUCCUUACUCCAGUGUGUUUAGCUGAAUAUUCGCUCUCUGCUCCUGAGUGAGUGUUUAUAUAUGAGACUGUUUCAGAGGCAUUUCACCGCGCUGAGCAACAGAGUUUAUACACUACAGGUAGUCGCUAUUCAAGCGGAUGAAAGGCUGUGCGGUGCAUGCAUGAACACACAACUGGAUGAACAGAUGGAAGAAGGCAAACUGGGUGGAGAAAGUACUUAAAGAUCACAGUCCUGUGUACCUGAUUGUCCUGUGGAUUGAGGAGUGUUCAGUGUCCACCCAACUUCUGAAAAUGAAUGUCCCAUCCAUCUGGCCCUCACUAUAAGGCCUCGAUCCAACGGAUAUUGUCCAAUUACAAGAUAACACUUCACAACCUAUAAAGGUACUGGCAUUCCCAAGCCUGCCCCUGUUGAUGUAGGUGACACUUGUGGAGUUGUGGAGUGUACAAUGUCCUGCAAUGAUUGAAUAAACAUGACUGUACUUUUUAUAAUCUUGAUUUU